rnacentral:lncRNA from 1 species
CAAUUAUGGAUUGAAGAAGGGGCGCCUUUCAGCAACCCCUUCUUGCCGAACUGGGGAGAGAAGUACCACCAGUCCUUCGCCGAAGGAUGGCGCUUGAAAGUAUAGAAGUGCCUAAACAGAGAGAGGGACGGUUGGACCUCAUCUACGUGGCAAAGGGAGAGAAAUUCUAUCAAAAACCUAAAAGAAUUCGGGGCCACGGAAGCCAAGGAGAUGUC